CCUUCGGGCGCCGACGAGUGGCGGACGGGUGAGUAAUACGUAGGAAUCUGCCCAUUAGUGGGGGACAACCCGGGGAAACUCGGGCUAAUACCGCAUACGCCCUACGGGGGAAAGCGGGGGAUCGUAAGACCUCGCGCUAUGAGAUGAGCCUGCGUUAGAUUAGCUAGUUGGUAGGGUAAAAGCCUACCAAGGCGACGAUCUAUAGCUGGUCUGAGAGGACGAUCAGCCACACUGGGACUGAGACACGGCCCAGACUCCUACGGGAGGCAGCAGUGGGGAAUAUUGGACAAUGGGCGCAAGCCUGAUCCAGCAAUACCGCGUGUGUGAAGAAGGCCUUAGGGUUGUAAAGCACUUUCAAUGGGGAGGAAAACCUGCCGGUCAAUACCCGGUAGCUUGACAUUACCUAUAGAAGAAGCACCGGCUAACUCCGUGCCAGCAGCCGCGGUAAUACGGAGGGUGCAAGCGUUAAUCGGAAUUACUGGGCGUAAAGCGUGCGUAGGCGGCUCGUUAAGUCAGAUGUGAAAGCCCUGGGCUCAACCUGGGAACUGCAUUUGAAACUGGCGAGCUAGAGUUGAGUAGAGGGGAGUGGAAUUUCAGGUGUAGCGGUGAAAUGCGUAGAUAUCUGAAGGAACACCAGUGGCGAAGGCGACUCCCUGGACUCAAACUGACGCUGAGGUACGAAAGCGUGGGUAGCAAACAGGAUUAGAUACCCUGGUAGUCCACGCUGUAAACGAUGUCAACUAGCUGUUGGUCCUAUUUACAGGAUUAGUGGCGCAGCUAACGCAUUAAGUUGACCGCCUGGGGAGUACGGCCGCAAGGUUAAAACUCAAAUGAAUUGACGGGGGCCCGCACAAGCGGUGGAGCAUGUGGUUUAAUUCGAUGCAACGCGAAGAACCUUACCUACCCUUGACAUCCAUAGAAUC
rnacentral:rRNA from 1 species